CAUUAGCCUAAGCUAAUGUGUGUACAUUAGCCUAAGCUAAUGUACAUUAGCCUAGGCUAAAGUGUGUACAUUAGCCUAAGCUAAUGUGUGUACAUAAGCCUAGGCUAAAGUGUGUACAUUAGCCUAAGCUAAUGUGUGUACAUUAGCCAUGUCACACAUUUUGCCUCGCACAGAUACACAAUAUGCUAGGCUAAUGUGCAUUAGCCUAGGCUAAUGAAGGUAAUAAAAGUUGAUCAGAGUUUAUUCAUUCAUGCUAGCUCUGUUCACUUGCUAUCUCUGAACAUUUUAGUAGCCUAAAAUUAACAUUUUGUAAAACUAUUUAUUAUAGACAUGGUACCAAGGAGAGAGACAGGGAAGAAAAGACAGGGAGAGAAUGUCAAGGUAAAAUACAAUCAGUGGAGAGAGGACAGGAUGGAGGGUGCUAUUAAAGAAUAUAGGGAGACAGUGGAGGCAGGGCAGAAUCCCAAACUAAGAUUCUUGGCAAGGGCAUGGAACAUGCCAAAGUCAAAUUUGGAAAGACGGGUCAAUGGGAAGAUCAGUGGCUCCAAACAUGCCUCUGGCAGGAAACCCUACAUGUCAGAGGCAGCAGAAAAAGAAGUUUCCAGCAUAGUAAAAAUGCUAUCUCAUUGUGGUUUCCCCUCGGGCAAGAAAGAUAUUCAAAAGCUUGCUUUUAGCUUUGCCAAAGCUAAUGGCAUUAAAUGCUUUUUGGAAGCUAAGGGUUCAGCUGGUUACCACUGGUUCAACAAUUUCAUGAAACGUCACAAAGAACUGAAGAUCAAAAAACCUGAAGCACUGUCUGCAGCAAGGGCUGCAGGCCUGAACCCAGUGGUGGUGGGAAAAUGGUUUGAGGAGUAUGAAGCCCUGCUCACAGAGCUAAACAUUGUGGAUGUUCCCUCACAUCUGUGGAACUGCGACGAAUCAGGACUACAAGACCAGUUCUGCUCCACACGGGUAGUUGGGGAAGUGGGGAAACAGUGUGUGGAAAUAACGGCUGGGGAGAAAGGAGAAACCACAACAGUGCUGGCAGCAUUCAAUGCUGUGGGCCAGUACAGUCGCACACUUGUAAUUUUCAAAGGAAAACGACUGAGGAUGGAUUGCCCAAGUCAUGUGAUUGCCAGUGUCUCAGAGAAUGGCUGGAUAAACAGCGAGCUCUUCGUUGAGUGGGGUAAGCUGUUUGUGCAGCAGCUGCCGAAGGACUACUCGACGGCCACAGCAGCCAUGUCUAUAACAUGCCUUUCAUCCAGCUGAUGAAGGACAACAAUGUUCACGUCAUGUGCUAUUCAUCCCACACGACACAUGUCCUGCAGCCAGCUGACAAGGCACUUUUUAAGAGGAAAUUGGUAUGAGGAAGGGAGAAGGUGGACCAGAGAGAGAGCAGGACUCAAGCUGCCAAAAAUGGAGUUCUUCUCCCUUUUCAACAAGGCAUGGCAGAAGACUGCCACAGUUGAGAACGCCCAGGCUGGCUUCAGGGGAACGGGAAUGUUUCCCCUGAACAAAAACAUUGUCCCUGCUGAGGUCUAUGCUCCAAGUACCACCACGGAGAGAGCCGUGCCACUGCCACCCACUGUAGUACCCGCCCUGCCACCCUCACCCGCUGUGCCACCCACAGACGCCAUGCCACCCUCACAUACUGAGAUGACUUUGAGCAUGGAAGAUCUGGGUGCAGAGGAAAUCAUCAUGUCUCCACUUGAUGAUACCUCCUUCCUCUGCUUUACCCCAAUGCCAGAGGACCCAACCACCCAAAAGGAUGAUGAGCAGCCAUCAACCUCAACGGCCAAGCCAGUGACAUUCAUUGACCUGAUUCCCAUUCCAAAGAGAGAGAGAGGGAUCCAAAAGAGGGCUAAACCCCCCAGCUAUCGACUUACCAGCACAAGAAGCCAACAAAAACCAAGAAGCCAACAAAGGCUAAGCAAGCAGCCAGCCAAGCAGAAAGCCAAACCUGCAGCAGCCACCCCUGUGAGGUCUGUAGGAAAACGUAUGGGGGUGACAGAGGAGUGGAUUAGCUGUCAACAGUGCCAUUGCUGGUUCCACGAGAGCUGUGGGGAAGACUAUGGCAUAAUGGAAGAUGAGGGGUUUGUCUGCAAAGAGUGUGUAUAAUUUCACAGUAGCAGUAGGCUACGCACAGUAGGCCUAUGAAUGGUUUCAUAACCAGUAUUCUGGCUUGUUUCACUGGGAAGUUCAGCCCUUUUAAGUUUUAACAAUUAAAAUUAAAACCCAAAUAACAUAGUGGGAUGAAAUAUGAAACAUUUAAGAGUUAUGUUAAGGUUUAAGGUUAAAUCAUUUUUUAAUUAUUUUUGUAUUCAUACAACACCUGAUUCCCUAUUUUACUCUGUUCAGCCCUUCUAUUACUAUGUUCAAUUGUACUAUAUACUAUAUGUUCAAA